UCGAUUUAAGUGAAAACAAAUUUAGGACAGCGAACAGAACGACUCCGGCACACCUCUCUGUCAAGCAGCACAAGCCAAAGCACCUGGGGGUGUGGAAGGAGGCUCCACGGGGCUGCCUUCCCAAACCACGGCAGCCACAGGAUGCCUCGAUCAGACCUAAACCCCACCAUAAAAUCGUGGGGACAGGGCUGCUCUGACCAGCUGCACAGGGAGGGCUCUGCAAAGCCAAGAACUAAGGGGA